rnacentral:rRNA from 1 species
CCCUUAGAUGUCCUGGGCCGCACGCGCGCUACACUGAGUGUCUGAGAUACGAGUCUGCCUGGUCCGGCAAGGUCUAGGUAAUCGCUAAAAGACACAUCGUGCUUGGGAUAGAUUAUUGCAAAUAUUAAUCUUGAACGAGGAAUUCCUAGUAAGCGCAAGUCAACAGCUUGCGUUGAUUACGUCCCUGCCCUUUGUACACACCGCCCGUCGCUACUACUGAAUGGAUGUUUAAGCGAGGUUCUCGAACUGCUAGCGACUUAGCUUCGGUAAGGUCGCAGUGUGGGAAGUGAACCUAGCUUUGGUGUCUAGAGGAAGUAAAAGUCGUAACA